rnacentral:rRNA from 1 species
AGCAGCCGCGGUAAUUCCAGCUCCAAUAGCGUAUAUUAAAGUUGUUGCAGUUAAAAAGCUCGUAGUUGAAUUUCGGGGUUAGUAGGUUGGUCAUGCCUCUGGUAUGUACUGGUCUCACUGAUUCCUCCUUCCUGAUGAGCCGUAAUGCCAUUAAUUUGGUGUUGCGGGGAAUUUGGACUGUUACUUUGAAAAAUUAGAGUGUUUAAAGCAGGCUAACGCUUGAAUACAUUAGCAUGGAAUAAUGAAAUAGGACGUUUGAUCCUAUUUUGUUGGUUUCUAGGAUUGACGUAAUGAUUAAUAGGGAUAGUUGGGGGCAUUAGUAUUCAAUUGUCAGAGGUGAAAUUCUUGGAUUUAUUGAAGACUAACUACUGCGAAAGCAUUUGCCAAGGAUGUUUUCAUUAAUCAAGAACGAAAGUUAGGGGAUCGAAGACGAUCAGAUACCGUCGUAGUCUUAACCAUAAACUAUGCCGACUAGGGAUCGGAUGAUGUUAAUUUUAAUGACUCAUUCGGCGCCUUACGG